rnacentral:sRNA from 1 species
CCCCCUCCCUCCCCCCCACCCUGGGUGUGAUUGGUUGAUAGGUUCGUGCGAUGCUGAGCACUUGAUUCUUGCCUGAGCACCAUUUGUUGGGUGCGGUUGGAACCUUCAUCGAUUUACAGAACUCUUUUGUUUAAUAUCCCCCCUUCUACCCUGCGCAUUGCUUUGCGUGUAGCAGGUGGUGGCAGGAUAUGUGUGGCUAUUCAUCCUGUAGAAAAAGCAUGCCGUGCGCUGGCGAAAUGUAUGUUGAAAAACGUACAUAGGGGCAGCAGAUUGGAUACAUAUACACAUCAGUAGAUUCUACCUAUGUAUGCUAUGAAGGAAAGGACAAGUAAACCAAGCGCUUGAGGUACUGUUCCUUGCUUAGUACACACAUAGCCCACCAGUUCAUUCAAUAGUAUCUUGCAAUUUAAUGACUCCA